AACCUCCGCAAUGUGAGAAAUCGCGACGGGGGGAUCCCAAGUGCCAUUCUUAACGGGAUGGCUUUUCAUUAGUGUAAAGAGCUUUUGGAAUAAGGGCUGGGCAAGCCCGGUGCCAGCCGCCGCGGUAACACCGGCAGCUCUAGUGGUAGCAGUUUUUAUUGGGCCUAAAGCGUCCGUAGCCGGUUUAAUAAGUCUCUGGUGAAAUCCUGUAGCUUAACUGUGGGAAUUGCUGGAGAUACUAUUAGACUUGAGACCGGGAGAGGUUAGAGGUACUCCCAGGGUAGAGGUGAAAUUCUGUAAUCCUGGGAGGACCGCCUGUUGCGAAGGCGUCUAACUGGAACGGUUCUGACGGUGAGGGACGAAAGUUAGGGGCGCGAACCGGAUUAGAUACCCGGGUAGUCCUAACUGUAAACGAUGCGGACUUGGUGUUGGGGUGGCUUUGAGCUGCUCCAGUGCCGAAGGAAGCGUGUUAAGUCCGCCGCCUGGGAAGUACGGUCGCAAGACUGAAACUUAAAGGAAUU
rnacentral:rRNA from 1 species